rnacentral:rRNA from 1 species
GACGAACGCUGGCGGCGUGCUUAACACAUGCAAGUCGAACGAGUGGCGAACGGGUGAGUAACACGUGGGUGACCUGCCCUGCACUUCGGGAUAAGCCUGGGAAACUGGGACUAAUACCGGCUAGUGUGGGAUGGGCCCGCGGCCUAUCAGCUUGUUGGGGGGGUAAUGGCUAACAAGGCGGGACGGGUAGCCGGCCUGAGAGGGUGGACAGCCAGACUGGGACUGAGACACGGCCGAGACUCCUACGGGAGGCAGCAGUGGGGAAUAUUGCACAAUGGGGGCAAGCCGGAUGCAGCCAUGCCGCGUGUAUGAAGAAGGCCUUAGGGUUGUAAAGUACUUUCAGCAGGGAGGCGUUACCCGCAGAGGAAGCACCGGCUAACUCCGUGCCAGCAGCCGCGGUAAUAC